ensembl:lncRNA
UAGGGUCCAGGGAGCAUCUUGAGACACUGGAUUCUGGCUCUAGAAGGGAUAAAUGGCCUCAAGCUCAGAGAGCAAAGACCACACAUCGAAUCAAUGUCAAGGCCUGGACUGAGUGUCAGAGUCACCUGACCCCAAGGUCUGGGCUGUGGCUAUAAUGAGAGCCAGCAUCAGCCUGGGGUAUUAGCAGCCUCUGUGUAUUUCACAGGGGUCACUCUUAAGGGAGAGUUCUCUUCCAGGAUACAAGGAGUUGGGGACAGUCUCGUCCUCUCCCCCUUCCCCUCUCUUUUCUCAAAUCCCUCUGCACAAGGUCACAGGCAACUGAAGGCUCCCUCUGGCCACCCUCAGCACCCCCGUGGGUCUGUCAUCCAUGGAGUCGGGUUUAAUAACCAAGGGGUCCAAGUGUCACAGGGCCCUUACUUUCAGCUUUCCUCAUCUGAAUGGGACCUAGCAAGGUGGAGAUGGCGAGGGCAGGAGAGGGAGAGGAGACUCCUCUCUCUGCACCUCCCCAACCCUGCUUUGGCAUUUUGUGUGCUGGGAAUGAGAAACCUAGCGUUGCUAUGGAAACUGCCAUCCCCUGCUCCCUCUCUCAUUCUCUGUGGGCAGUUCUUGUAUGUAACAUGGAAGUGCAGGGCUCCCUGCUAUCCAGGGGGCUGGAAUUCAGGAGGACCAUCUCUGGGGGUGGGGAUGCAGGAAUGGAUGGGAGCUGACAGAGGGGCCUCCCGCGGUUCUGCUCCCAGGAGGGGUUUCAGGGCCUCCGACCUGAGGGCAGCGUGAGGGGCAGCCAUGGAGCUCAGGCUGCGUCUCUGGAGUGAGCCUGGUAACAAUGCUCAUUCACACUCAUUGCAAAGAAGAGUUCACAAAGUGCAGUCAGCUGGGCUGUUUAGAAAGAGCUUGGGCCCUGCAGUUCCUAAGACUCAGGCUUGAAUACCAGCAUGGGUAACUUCUCCAAGCUUCCAUUCCCCACAUCUGGAAGCUGAGCAACCUCAGAAGUGGUCACAUGGGACCAAGACUGUGCCCCUGUCCCCUGCCU